AUGGCUGUCGUCAGGCUCGUGUCGUGAGAUGUUGGGCUAAGUCCCGCAACGAGCGCAACCCUUAUUCAUUAGUUGCUACGCAAGGGCACUCUAAUGAGACUGCCGGUGACAACCGGAGGAAGUGGGGGAUGACGUCAAGUCCUCAUGGCCCUUAUGGGUAGGGCUUCACACGUCAUACAAUGGUCGGUACAGAGGGUUGCCAAGCCGCGAGGCGGAGCCAAUCCCACAAAGCCGAUCGUAGUCCGGAUUGUUCUCUGCAACUCGAGAGCAUGAAGUCGGAAUCGCUAGUAAUCGCAGGUCAGCAUACUGCGGUGAAUACGUUCCCGGGUCUU
rnacentral:rRNA from 1 species